rnacentral:piRNA from 1 species
UUAAUUUUAGGACAAGUCUGAU